UGGGCAUGUCACGCGGAGAGCGGAAUCCGAAGCAUUAAGAAUUGUAAUGAAAACGAACGUAGGAGAAAUAAGACGGAGAGGAAGACCGAAAAAGAGGUGGUCGGAUGCGUUCGAGAGUUGUACGAAUGCGGCUGGCGCAUGCGAGGCGGGCGACCCGGUACAGCGGAGGUUUAGAACGAGGGUGACCGAACCCGAAUAGUGGGGAUGAAGGCGUCAGAGGAGAAGGAAAACGAUUAUUUUUGAUUUAUACGUUUUAUAAGCAAUCCGUAGCCCGAUCUGCGCUGAAAUUAUCAUCGAUCUCAAAACAGCUAGGUGUACGCGCCUAUGUUAGUAUUUAUAAUUGUCGUCGGCGUAUUUGCCGUUUACGGUAGGCGUUUGACGGUGAGGUAACAGCGGCGUUUUCGACCGGGGACCGCGUGUUCCGUGGUCGGCGACGGCGUCUGUCGUUUCGGCCGGGUUCGUUUUCCGUUUCACCCGGUUCGUUUCUUC